rnacentral:misc_RNA from 1 species
GAAAUGCGAUAAUUAAUGUGAAUUGCAGAAUUCAGUGAAUCAUCGAGUCUUUGAACGCACAUUGCGCCCCCUGGUAUUCCGGGGGGCAUGCCUGUCCGAGCGUCAUUGCUGCCCUCAAGCACGGCUUGUGUGUUGGGCUUCCGUCCCUGGCAACGGGGACGGGCCCAAAAGGCAGUGGCGGCACCAUGUCUGGUCCUCGAGCGUAUGGGGCUUUGUCACCCGCUCCCGUAGGUCCAGCUGGCAGCUAGCCUCGCAACCAAUCUUUUUAACCAGGUUGACCUCAGAUCAGGUAGGGAUACCCGCUGAACUUAAGC